rnacentral:sRNA from 1 species
AUUCGAGCGAAAGCGAGAAAGCGUUGCCGCAGGCAACGACCCGAAGGGCGAAGCGCGCAGCGCUGAGUAAUCCUUCCCCCACCACCA